CUUUCAGGCUCACUGGUUGGUGGCGGAAUUUGGUUCCUAGAAACUGCUCCAAGCCAGUUUGCAGCAUGACUCUUGCUUUCUUCCAGGAGACCCACAGGAAAUCCACUCUCUUGUAAGAGGUUCGCUCGUUAUGUCAGGCCCUUCCAGAAUAAUCUCCCUUUUGCUUCAAGUCAGUGGAUUGACCCAAGUCAAUGGAUUAGUAAUCUAAUAGUGGACGUGGUGUCCCAUGGCUCUGCCCAUGCCCAAGGGAGGGGGAUUAUCCAGUGGUGCAGACUGGCGGGGGUAUCUGGGAAUUCUGCCAGCACAGGAGUGAUGACAGCUGUGCGUCUCUGUCAUUUGAAUGAACUAAAGUCCAGAGGACUUGUGUGAGGUUCUUGAAGUCUGGCCUAGACUCUCCAGAAAACUCUCAGGAGAUAUGAACUUCUGGCUCUACCACUAACUACUGAUGCUGUUGGAAGAAGACAUUUAACCUUUUUGAACAUCACCAGUUUCUUGUCUCUGUAGAAGGAUGGGAUUGAUUGGUAUGAUUGUUUCCUUAAAGAUCUGAGACUGAUUUGGGGAAUUUACACAUUUAAUCACCAUUUGUUUGAUGUUGGCCAUAUGCUAGGCACCAUUCUAUGUACUAUGGGUACAUUGUAGUCUGUUACUAUGAUGAGGGAGAAUUUCAAGCCCAUACAAAGGAGAUGAUGAAUCAAUAACUAGGAAAAAAUUUAACCAAGGAGUUACACAGUGACUGGCAUUAACACCAAUGAGCCACAUGCUUGGCAACCUUCAAGGGCUUGGAAUUUAGCUCAAUGGUUCUGCUGCCUGUCUCGCAAGCACAAGGUCCUGAGUUUGAUUCCUGGUACCAAAAAAAAAAAAAGAGUAAAUUUAUUCAAGCAUCCUAACCACAAAAAUGAUCAGUAGAUGAGAUAAUAAAUACAUUAACUACCUUGAUUUAGUCAUUUCACAAUGUCUAUGUUUCAAAACAUCACAUUGUACACCAUGAAUUU
rnacentral:lncRNA from 1 species